rnacentral:rRNA from 1 species
AACUAUGGCCAUGCCAUCCUGAACAUGCCCAACCCCAUCCGAUCUUGGAAGUUAAGCAGGGUUGGGCCUGGUUUAUACUUGGAUAGGAGACCACCUAGGAAGACUAGGUGCUGUAGGUG